rnacentral:lncRNA from 1 species
GAGAUACAAGCUUCGCUGGGGACGUACAAAACUCCGUUGGGGACGACAUAAUUAUGUCAAGGAAAAUAACACGCCGCAGGGUAUCUGGAUCAACCAGCUUAGCUGGGGACAAAGAAAUUCCACCGAGGAUCAAACACUCUACCGAGGAACAAACGUUUAUGGAUACCCUAAGAGUUAUCUGCUUGGGGAACCUCUGAUGUUUCGCACUUAAGGAUUUGAUAUCCCUUAAAAUGCUGUUGAUAUUCCUUUUACUUGCUUUGGAA